rnacentral:rRNA from 1 species
GACGAACGCUGGCGGCGUGCUUAACACAUGCAAGUCGUACGGUAAGGCCCUUUCGGGGGUCCACGAGUGGCGCACGGGUGAGUAACACGUGAGUAACCUGCCCACAACUUUGGGAUAACGCUAGGAAACUGGUGCUAAUACUGGAUAUGUGCCCCUGCUGCAUGGUGGGGGUUGGAAAGCUCCGGCGGUUGUGGAUGGACUCGCGGCCUAUCAGCUUGUUGGUGGGGUAGUGGCCUACCAAGGCGGCGACGGGUAGCCGGCCUGAGAGGGUGACCGGCCACAUUGGGACUGAGAUACGGCCCAGACUCCUACGGGAGGCAGCAGUGGGGAAUAUUGCACAAUGGGCGCAAGCCUGAUGCAGCAACGCCGCGUGCGGGAUGACGGCCUUCGGGUUGGAAACCGCUUUCAGCAGGGACGAAGCUUUUUGUGACGGUACCUGCAGAAGAAGCACCGGCUAACUACGUG